rnacentral:rRNA from 1 species
GACGUAGGGUGCAAGCGUUAAUCGGAAUUACUGGGCGUAAAGCGUGCGCAGGCGGUGAUGUAAGACAGGUGUGAAAUCCCCGGGCUUAACCUGGGAAUUGCAUUUGUGACUGCACGGCUAGAGUUUGGCAGAGGGGGGUAGAAUUCCACGUGUAGCAGUGAAAUGCGUAGAUAUGUGGAGGAAUACCGAUGGCGAAGGCAGCCCCCUGGGUCAAGACUGACGCUCAUGCACGAAAGCGUGGGGAGCAAACAGG